rnacentral:rRNA from 1 species
UACGUAGGGGGCAAGCGUUGUCCGGAAUCAUUGGGCGUAAAGAGCGUGUAGGCGGCCCGGUAAGUCCGCUGUAAAAGUCAAAGGCUCAACCUUUGAAUGUCAGUGGAUACUGCCAGGCUAGAGUCCGGAAGAGGCGAGUGGAACUCCUGGUGUAGCGGUGGAAUGCGCAGAUAUCAGGAAGAACACCAACGGCGAAGGCAGCUCGCUAGGACGGUACUGACGCUGAGACGCGAAAGCGUGGGGAGCGAACAGG